AUUGAACGCUGGCGGCAGGCUUAACACAUGCAAGUCGAGCGGGGUGAUGGUGCUUGCACUAUCACUUAGCGGCGGACGGGUGAGUAAUGCUUAGGAAUCUGCCUAUUAGUGGGGGACAACAUCUCGAAAGGGAUGCUAAUACCGCAUACGUCCUACGGGAGAAAGCAGGGGAUCACUUGUGACCUUGCGCUAAUAGAUGAGCCUAAGUCGGAUUAGCUAGUUGGUGGGGUAAAGGACUACCAAGGCGACGAUCUAUAGCGGGUCUGAGAGGAUGAUCCGGCACACUGGGACUAGAACACGGCCCAGACUCCUACGGAAGGCAGCAGUGGGGAAUAUUGGACACUGGGGGGAACCCUGAUCCAGCCAUGCCGCGUGUGUGAAGAAGGCCUUAUGGUUGUAAAGCACUUUAAGCGAGGAGGAGGCUCUUUUGGUUAAUACCCAAGAUGAGUGGACGUUACUCGCAGAAUAAGCACCGGCUAACUCUGUGCCAGCCGCCGCCGUAA
rnacentral:rRNA from 1 species